rnacentral:rRNA from 1 species
UGGGGAAUUUUGGACAAUGGGCGAAAGCCUGAUCCAGCAAUGCCGCGUGCAGGAUGAAGGCCUUCGGGUUGUAAACUGCUUUUGUACGGAACGAAAAAGCUUCUCCUAAUACGAGAGGCCCAUGACGGUACCGUAAGAAUAAGCACCGGCUAACUACGUGCCAGCAGCCGCGGUAAUACGUAGGGUGCGAGCGUUAAUCGGAAUUACUGGGCGUAAAGCGUGCGCAGGCGGUUAUGUAAGUCAGAUGUGAAAUCCCCGGGCUCAACCUGGGAACUGCAUUUGUGACUGCAUGGCUAGAGUACGGUAGAGGGGGAUGGAAUUCCGCGUGUAGCAGUGAAAUGCGUAGAUAUGCGGAGGAACACCGAUGGCGAAGGCAAUCCCCUGGGCCUGUACUGACGCUCAUGCACGAAAGCGUGGGGAGCAAACA